rnacentral:rRNA from 1 species
AUGCGGUGCCCACUCAUAUGUAACUGGCCGAUUGAGCUUCAACUGCCACAUCGGGUGUACCGCCAGUUCAGUUUGUUCCAGCCACACCCGUCGGAGUGGGAGGACACGAGCAAGUGUCUACACGCGUUGGAUAGGAGAAGGCAGCGGAAGGUCAAGCAUUGGGACAAGCAUCAUAGGAAGUAUAUCAUACAGUUUGCACUUAGUGUGGAGCAAGCUAAGGCUGGAAAACGAGCCCAUCUUCAUGAGCACUGCCCGGUCGCGUUCAACAACUAUCUCACAUGGUUUCUUGUAAGUACCCGUGUGGAGGUAUGCAAGCCGACGUAUGCUGAGGAGAUUUUGGAAGAUCCCACCGUUUUCGAUGAGCUAACCCAACACCAGUACAACAAAUUAGUCAGGGAAGGCACCUCAGUCCCUUCAGCUCCAAUGAUGAACUUUGUGCGUGCCCAGAUCAAGAAAGCAACUGAUGAGACCGAGACUAUUCUGGAGACAACCCCGGUUGGGAAAAGUGAUGGGGAAGCUUCACUUCAAGCAUUCGUUAAGCGCCAGGGCCAUAGGUUAAGGUAG